UACGUAGGGUGCAAGCGUUAAUCGGAAUUACUGGGCGUAAAGCGUGCGCAGGCGGUUGGGCGAGACCGAGGUGAAAUCCCCGGGCUUAACCUGGGAAUGGCAUUGGUGACUGCACGGCUAGAGUGUGUCAGAGGGGGGUAGAAUUCCACGUGUAGCAGUGAAAUGCGUAGAGAUGUGGAGGAAUACCGAUGGCGAAGGCAGCCCCCUGGGAUAACACUGACGCUCAUGCACGAAAGCGUGGGGAGCAAACAGG
rnacentral:rRNA from 1 species